rnacentral:rRNA from 1 species
UACGUAGGUGGCAAGCGUUAUCCGGAUUUACUGGGUGUAAAGGGCGUGUAGGCGGGAAAGCAAGUCAGAUGUGAAAACCAUGGGCUCAACCUGUGGCCUGCAUUUGAAACUGUUUUUCUAGAGUGUCGGAGAGGCAAGUGGAAUUCCUGGUGUAGCGGUGAAAUGCGUAGAUAUCAGGAGGAACACCAGUGGCGAAGGCGGCUUGCUGGACGAUGUCUGACGUUGAGGCUCGAAAGCGUGGGGAGCAAACAGG